rnacentral:rRNA from 1 species
UGGGGAAUAUUGCACAAUGGAGGGAACUCUUAUGCAGCGACGCCGCGUGAGUGAAGAAGUAUUUCGGUAUGUAAAGCUCUAUCAGUAGGGAAGAUAAUGACGGUACCUACAUAAGAAGCCCCGGCUAAAUACGUGCCAGCAGCCGCGGUAAUACGUAUGGGGCAAGCGUUGUCCGGUAUUAUUGGGCGUAAAGCGCGCGCAGGUGGUUUAGAAAGUCUGAUGUGAAAGCCCACGGCUCAACCGUGGAGGGUCAUUGGAAACUAAUAAACUUGAGUGCAGGAGAGAAAAGUGGAAUUCCUAGUGUAGCGGUGAAAUGCGUAGAGAUUAGGAGGAACACCGGUGGCGAAAGCGGCUUUUUGGCCUGCAACUGACACUGAGGCGCGAAAGCGUGGGGAGCAAACAGG